CGUCCGUUUUCACUUUCCAUAGGCAUAAUUAUAAUGUUGUUACAAAACGCGCGCGAACGUAAUCGAAUCGUUCGCCGAAUUCGUUAGCCGGUCCGGUCCGUUAUAGCGGGGAUAAAAAAAAAAUGUACAUAUAUAUUUAAAUAAAAAAAAACUACAGAGUAUUUCGUAUCUAUACGCGGAUAAAAGUAAAUAUUUAUUCGAAAGAACGGAAGGCGACGUUUUUCCCCGGGAUUAUAGUACGUACAUGUAUAGACGUGUGUAUAUGCCGAGCGCGCGGGGGAUUAUACAGCCGAAUGCGUAUUGUAAAGAGAAAUGCGACCGUAUUAAAAAAUAAUAAUACUGAAAAAAAAAAAAAAAAAAAAACCGACCGCAUAAUGUAGUCCGUAUGGUCCGUCCGGUGUUAACAACGUCCGCCGCCGCCGUAAUACUUAUAAAGCGGCCUC